GUCCACGCCGUAAACGAUGGGCACUAGGUGUUCGGGGUAUUGACCCCUGAGUGCCGCAGCUAACGCAUUAAGUGCCCCGCCUGGGGACUACGGCCGCAAGGCUAAAACUCAAAAGGAAUUGACGGGGCCCGCACAAGCGGUGGAGCAUGUGGUUCAAUUCGACGCAACGCGAAGAACCUUACCUGGGCUAGACAACGUCGGACCGCCCUAGAAAUAGGGUCUUCCCGCAAGGGACCGGCGGUUCAGGUGCUGCAUGGCUGUCGU
rnacentral:rRNA from 1 species